rnacentral:rRNA from 1 species
UACGAAGGGGGCUAGGCGUUGUUCGGAAUCACUGGGCGUAAAGGGCGCGUAGGCGGCUUUGUAAGUCGGGGGUGAAAGCCUGUGGCUCAACCACAGAAUUGCCUUCGAUACUGCAUGGCUUGAGACCGGAAGAGGUGGGUGGAAUUCCUAGUGUAGAGGUGAAAUUCGUUAGAUAUUAGGAAGAACACCGUGGCGAAGGCGGCCCACUGGUCCGGUACUGACGCUGAGGUGCGAAAGCGUGGGG